AGUGAACGCUGGCGGUAGGCCUAACACAUGCAAGUCGAACGGCAGCACAGUAAGAGCUUGCUCUUACGGGUGGCGAGUGGCGGACGGGUGAGGAAUACAUCGGAAUCUACUUUUUCGUGGGGGAUAACGUAGGGAAACUUACGCUAAUACCCAAUACGACCUACGGGUGAAAGCAGGGGACCUUCGGACCUUGCGCGAUUGAAUGAGCCGAUGUCGGAUUAGCUAGUUGGCGGGGUAAAGGCCCACCAAGGCGACGAUCCGUAGCUGGUCUGAGAGGAUGAUCAGCCACACUGGAACUGAGACACGGUCCAGACUCCUACGGGAGGCAGCAGUGGGGAAUAUUGGACAAUGGGCGCAAGCCUGAUCCAGCCAUACCGCGUGGGUGAAGAAGGCCUUCGGGUUGUAAAGCCCUUUUGUUGGGAAAGAAAAGCAGCAGGUUAAUACCCCGCUGUUCUGACGGUACCCAAAGAAUAAGCACCGGCUAACUUCGUG
rnacentral:rRNA from 1 species